GGGUUGUGAGGUUAAGCGACUAAGCGUACACGGUGGAUGCCCUGGCAGUCAGAGGCGAUGAAGGGCGUGCUAAUCUGCGAUAAGCGCCGGUAAGGUGAUAUGAACCGUUAUAACCGGCGAUACCCGAAUGGGGAAACCCAGUGUGAUUCGUCACACUAUCAUUAACUGAAUCCAUAGGUUAAUGAGGCGAACCGGGGGAACUGAAACAUCUAAGUACCCCGAGGAAAAGAAAUCAACCGAGAUUCCCCCAGUAGCGGCGAGCGAACGGGGAGGAGCCCAGAGCCUGAAUCAGCAUGUGUGUUAGUGGAAGCGUCUGGAAAGGCGCGCGAUACAGGGUGACAGCCCCGUACACAAAAGCGCAUAUGCUGUGAGCUCGAUGAGUAGGGCGGGACACGUGGUAUCCUGUCUGAAUAUGGGGGGACCAUCCUCCAAGGCUAAAUACUCCUGACUGACCGAUAGUGAACCAGUACCGUGAGGGAAAGGCGAAAAGAACCCCGGCGAGGGGAGUGAAAAAGAACCUGAAACCGUGUACGUACAAGCAGUGGGAGCCCCACCAUUAAGCCAGUGGUGAACUCCACAUACGCAUCCUUUGCUGAGGAGACGGUUAACGGAGCGAAAGCGACGUUCAACCUCAAAAGAAGCAGAGGGGGCUUAGUGGUGGGGUGACUGCGUACCUUUUGUAUAAUGGGUCAGCGACUUAUAUUCUGUAGCAAGGUUAACUGUAUAGGGGAGCCGGAGGGAAACCGAGUCUUAACCGGGCGUUAAGUUGCAGGGUAUAGACCCGAAACCCGGUGAUCUAGCCAUGGGCAGGUUGAAGGUUGGGUAACACUAACUGGAGGACCGAACCGACUAAUGUUGAAAAAUUAGCGGAUGACCUGUGGCUGGGGGUGAAAGGCCAAUCAAACCGGGAGAUAGCUGGUUCUCCCCGAAAGCUAUUUAGGUAGCGCCUCGUGAAUUCAUCUCCGGGGGUAGAGCACUGUUUCGGCUAGGGGGCCAUCCCGGCUUACCAACCCGAUGCAAACUGCGAAUACCGGAGAAUGUUAUCACGGGAGACACACGGCGGGUGCUAAUGUCCGUCGUGAAGAGGGAAACAACCCAGACCGCCAGCUAAGGUCCCAAAGUCAUGGUUAAGUGGGAAACGAUGUGGGAAGGCCCAGACAGCCAGGAUGUUGGCUUAGAAGCAGCCAUCAUUUAAAGAAAGCGUAAUAGCUCACUGGUCGAGUCGGCCUGCGCGGAAGAUGUAACGGGGCUAAACCAUGCACCGAAGCUGCGGCAGCGACACCGUGUGUUGUUGGGUAGGGGAGCGUUCUGUAAGCCUGUGAAGGUGUGCUGUGAGGCAUGCUGGAGGUAUCAGAAGUGCGAAUGCUGACAUAAGUAACGAUAAAGCGGGUGAAAAGCCCGCUCGCCGGAAGACCAAGGGUUCCUGUCCAACGUUAAUCGGGGCAGGGUGAGUCGACCCCUAAGGCGAGGCCGAAAGGCGUAGUCGAUGGGAAACGGGUUAAUAUUCCCGUACUUGGUGUUACUGCGAAGGGGGGACGGAGAAGGCUAUGUUGGCCGGGCGACGGUUGUCCCGGUUUAAGCGUGUAGGUAUGUGUUCCAGGUAAAUCCGGUUCACUUUAACACUGAGGCGUGACGACGAGGCACUACGGUGCUGAAGCAACAAAUGCCCUGCUUCCAGGAAAAGCCUCUAAGCAUCAGGUAACAUCAAAUCGUACCCCAAACCGACACAGGUGGUCAGGUAGAGAAUACCAAGGCGCUUGAGAGAACUCGGGUGAAGGAACUAGGCAAAAUGGUGCCGUAACUUCGGGAGAAGGCACGCUGACACGUAGGUGAAGUGAUUUACUCACGGAGCUGAAGUCAGCCGAAGAUACCAGCUGGCUGCAACUGUUUAUUAAAAACACAGCACUGUGCAAACACGAAAGUGGACGUAUACGGUGUGACGCCUGCCCGGUGCCGGAAGGUUAAUUGAUGGGGUCAGCGCAAGCGAAGCUCCUGAUCGAAGCCCCGGUAAACGGCGGCCGUAACUAUAACGGUCCUAAGGUAGCGAAAUUCCUUGUCGGGUAAGUUCCGACCUGCACGAAUGGCGUAAUGAUGGCCAGGCUGUCUCCACCCGAGACUCAGUGAAAUUGAACUCGCUGUGAAGAUGCAGUGUACCCGCGGCAAGACGGAAAGACCCCGUGAACCUUUACUAUAGCUUGACACUGAACAUUGAGCCUUGAUGUGUAGGAUAGGUGGGAGGCUUUGAAGUGUGGACGCCAGUCUGCAUGGAGCCGACCUUGAAAUACCACCCUUUAAUGUUUGAUGUUCUAACGUGGACCCGUGAUCCGGGUUGCGGACAGUGUCUGGUGGGUAGUUUGACUGGGGCGGUCUCCUCC
rnacentral:rRNA from 1 species